UACGUAGGGCGCAAGCGUUGUCCGGAAUUAUUGGGCGUAAAGAGCUCGUAGGCGGUUUGUCGCGUCUGGUGUGAAAACUCAAGGCUCAACCUUGAGCUUGCAUCGGGUACGGGCAGACUAGAGUGUGGUAGGGGUGACUGGAAUUCCUGGUGUAGCGGUGGAAUGCGCAGAUAUCAGGAGGAACACCGGUGGCGAAGGCGGGUCUCUGGGCCGAUAUUGACGCUGAGGAGCGAAAGCGUGGGGAGCGAACAGG
rnacentral:rRNA from 1 species